rnacentral:rRNA from 1 species
CUCUGUGACUCCUACGGGAGGCAGCAGUGGGGAAUAUUGCACAAUGGGCGCAAGCCUGAUGCAGCCAUGCCGCGUGUGUGAAGAAGGCCUUCGGGUUGUAAAGCACUUUCAGUCGUGAGGAAGGUAGUGUAGUUAAUAGCUGCAUUAUUUGACGUUAGCGACAGAAGAAGCACCGGCUAACUCCGUGCCAGCAGCCGCGGUAAUACGGAGGGUGCGAGCGUUAAUCGGAAUUACUGGGCGUAAAGCGCAUGCAGGUGGUUUGUUAAGUCAGAUGUGAAAGCCCGGGGCUCAACCUCGGAAUAGCAUUUGAAACUGGCAGACUAGAGUACUGUAGAGGGGGUAGAAUUUCAGGUGUAGCGGUGAAAUGCGUAGAGAUCUGAAGGAAUACCGGUGGCGAAGGCGGCCCCCUGGACAGAUACUGACACUCAGAUGCGAAAGCGUGGGGAGCAAACAGGAUUGAUACCCUGGUAG